UUCCUCUGCCCAUAUCUUUGCCUCUCUCUGUCUCUCAUGAGUAAAUAAAUAAAAUCUUUAAAAAAAUAAAUUUAAAAUCAAAAAACAAAAAGUACAAGUACUAAAAGCCUUCAUGUUAAGGCUAUUGGUCAUUUUGUCCAAAGCUUUAAGGUGGUUCUGCUUAUUAAACUAACUGUGGUGGUCAACUGUGGUGUUUUUUGUUGUUUUACUUAUAAAAUUAGUGUAAUUUCAUUUUAGGUAAUUUAGGGGGUGGGGAGGAAAUACUUCUAAUCUUAAGGCCCACCUUCAAACACCACCACUUUUAUCAUUUUGGUAGCUAAUUCCUAGUGUGCAGUCCAACUGAAUGAAGGUAGGUAUGAAGGUAAUGAAGGUAAACGAGUAUCUCUUUCAGAUACUUGAAUCUCAAAGCUUUAUGAACCCCACUGUAGACCUGCUGUUUUAUCACAAGAGGGCACCAGGAAACGGGAUAGAUAUUCCCCUAGUGAUUAGCAAAUUGGUUCCCUUGGAGAAUUUUAUUAUCCUUAGUAAUGUGACCCAUAUUAAGGGUACUUUAGACUUCAAUGCUGUGUUGUUUUUUUUGUUUUUGUUUUUGUUUUGUUUUUUUUGGUUGUCAAUGAUUAUUGAAAUAUUUUCCUAUGUAGUUCUUAACUAGCUGGGGAUUCCACUGCACCACUAUUGUUGUCAUCUGUGAUAUCAUUAGGGUGGCGGUCAUCAACAUUGCAGCCCAUAGACUGGCCAGUCCCCAGGAUGGAUCUCUUUAAUGGUUCCAGAGAGGAGAGUUCUCUGGCUCAAGAUUGAUGUUGCAUCUGUCGGGCAGUAUUGACAAUCCCAUCAAAAGUGACAUUUUCUCUGUCCAUAAUGUUUUUCUGCUUCAGUUUCUAUCUCUUGGUGGUCCUUUGAGGGCUUUGAUAAUCAGGGCAGAGCAGAUGGUACCACUUCAAUCUGGGCCUGUCUGUUCUAAAUGUUAGUUUCACUAUAAUCCUCAGACCCUUACUAAUCACCUGUUGCCUUGGUAAUGUCAUCACCAACAUUUUUUGGAGAAAAAACCCAGGGAGCUGAUCUUCACCCCAGGGCAGAUGUGGCAUCAACUUCCCCACUGGUGCACCUCAGGUAUACAACUUUGAUCUUGUUGGGGCCGAAUGUAGGCGGCAUGGUUGGAAGUGGGUGCCUGGUGUUGGGUGAACCUGGCCAGAUUUCUAGAUAACUGAAGCCGGUUACACCUUGGCCUCCUCCAAGCUGAAAGCCAAAAGCUAGACUUUAAGAUUUCCUUAAACAUGAACUGGGAAGAGCUCCUUUCCUGCCUUCUUCAAAGAGAGACAUAUUCUAAUAUUUUAGAGCAUUCAUCAAGAGUAGACCCAGUGAUAGUAAACACAUCCAACGGGAGGCUCAGGCAUCAUGCCCUUCCACAGAGAAGCAUUGCUGGCCCUACUGGAAGCUUUGUAAAGAAAGGUCUGCUCAAAUCUUACUCCUUAGCAUUCUUCUCAAAGGAGUUUCAUAAGUUCAUAUAAAUUUCAAUGCUGUUUCUGAAUUUAGAUUUUUCUCUUUCUAAAACCAACUCAGCUUUCCUUUGGUUUAGACCUUUGAACCAGUGCCUGUUCUGUGUGAAAAACUUUCCUAAUGCUGAAGACCCAUCAUGCAAUUUUUAAAACUAGUAAGUAGGCUAACCCCUGAUGGGCUAAUCACUUCUUCGUGAGUUGUAUGCAUUCCAAAAGUCAGUCAUUUGUUCCCAAACUUGUUUAUGCAAGUUAUACUGAGUAAUUACAUAAGUUAAUUCAAUAUUACCCAAAGCAAACAAAUAGGAGCGUGAAGAGAGUUGUGAUCUCUGUGAAAAUAAGCCAAAUUCUUGGGAAGACCUGAUAAAGAGCUAUCUGAUAUCAGCACCUAUCUCUAAAGAUAGGUCUUUAUCGGGUCUUAAGAAAAAAUGCUAUGGAAUUAGGUAUGGGAAAAACAUGUAAGUUUAGGGGGAAAGAAAGGUUGUCCAAAUCCAGCGGAAUUCUGCCCUCAGUUUUUUUCCACAGGUGCCUUGAGUCUUCACUUGAAACUAAAAUUGGUAGUGCUACUUGCUUGCAUUAAUGCAUGUCUUAUGUACAGCCCCCUUCUGUAGACUCUACUCCAAGGAAAAGCCUUUUUUUUAUUUAUUUUAUUUUUUAAAGAUUUUAUUUAUUUAUUCAUGAGAGACACAAAGAGAGGCAGAGAUAAAGGCAGAGGGAGAAGCAGCCUCCCUGCAAGGAGCCUGAUGUAGGACUCGAUCCCAGAAUCCUGGGAUCACGACCUGAGCCAAAGGCAGACGCUCAACCUCUGAGCCACCCAGAUGCCACAAGAAAAGGCCUGUUAUCAAAGGAGUGAUGAAUGAAUAGACUUGUAUGUUUUUAAUUUAAAACAACAUUUUAAAGAUAUUUAUUGUAAUUUUGUGAUUCUCCACUUUAACUGACUUUUGUUUUUAACUGACCAGCUACAGAUCCUGGCUACUUAGGGAAGAGAGCUUCUACUAUAGAUUUCCAGGAGCUGCCAACCACACAUAGGCUUUCGUAAUGAGACGCCACAGGAUCAGAAUCUUCUAGAACAUUCCAGCACCAAGCUCUACUGGACUGUGUGGGCGCUUACUCUAACUCAGAAUCAUUUGAGUCUUGUCUUUUAGGAAAUAAAAAGGAAUGAUUAAACUA